rnacentral:misc_RNA from 1 species
AAGUCGUAACAAGGUUUCCGUAGGUGAACCUGCGGAAGGAUCAUUAAAAGGGUAUUGUCGAGUUCAAUAGAUAAUUCUAUCGACUCGACAUCCUGAUCAUUCCUUAUGUGCAUUUUUUAUUAUGCUUUGGUUGGUCGAAAGACUUACCAAAAGUUAAUCUUACUGCCUUAUUUUUUGUCUGAAGAAAUAAAUAUAAUUUGAAAUACAACUUUCAACAACGGAUCUCUUGGCUCUC